rnacentral:rRNA from 1 species
UUGGAUGACCAGCGGAGGGAUCAUUACCGAGUUUACAACUCCCAAACCCAAUGUGAACGUUACCAAACUGUUGCCUCGGCGGGAUCUCUGCCCCGGGUGCGUCGCAGCCCCGGACCAAGGCGCCCGCCGGAGGACCAACCAAAACUCUUAUUGUAUACCCCCUCGCGGGUUUUUUUUAUAAUCUGAGCCUUCUCGGCGCCUCUCGUAGGCGUUUCGAAAAUGAAUCAAAACUUUCAACAACGGAUCUCUUGGUUCUGGCAUCGAUGAAGAACGCAGCGAAAUGCGAUAAGUAAUGUGAAUUGCAGAAUUCAGUGAAUCAUCGAAUCUUUGAACGCACAUUGCGCCCGCCAGUAUUCUGGCGGGCAUGCCUGUCCGAGCGUCAUUUCAACCCUCGAACCCCUCCGGGGGGUCGGCGUUGGGGAUCGGCCCUGCCUUGGCGGUGGCCGUCUCCGAAAUACAGUGGCGGUCUCGCCGCAGCCUCUCCUGCGCAGUAGUUUGCACACUCGCAUCGGGAGCGCGGCGCGUCCACAGCCGUUAAACACCCAACUUCUGAAAUGUUGACCUCGGAUCAGGUAGGAAUACCCGCUGAACUUAAGCAUAUCAAUAAAGCGGAGGA